rnacentral:lncRNA from 1 species
UGCGCUUCCCUUCCCCGGCCCAGUUGACCAAGAGGGUCCCAGAAAGCACAGGGCGUGAGGGCAGCUGUGGAAAGGCCCAGGGAGGCUGUGUCCAAGCCCAACUUCCCCAGCUAGGGCGUGUGAUGUGGGGGUGGGGGUGUCUUGUAAACUGGAGCUUCCACCAUUGCAGUAGGCGGAGUGGAGGCCCAGGCUUCAAGACCAAGCAGCAGCAGCUCCUGGGCCAAGCCUCAUCUUGCCCAGUGUGGCCUGUCAAGAUGACGGCCUGGAAGAGAAGCCAGACUGGGCAGCCAGGCCUCUGCCCCUCCCCUUGCCUGGUGGCACAGCCAGCACUGGCUCACUGGGAAAGCUCACAACUCCUCACAGCGAUCUGGUAUCUUGAGCGUCAGUUUCUGGCCGAAACUGGGGGCUCCUGACUGAACUCCCUCCCACCUAGAAAACCUUCUGUGCAGUCUGAUUGCUCCAACACCCACAGAGCAGGAUUCAGGUAUCCCGGAGACCUUGGGAGGUCCCCAUCCAGAGGUCUGCUGUCCUGCCAGGCUUGGGGCAGCAGGGACUGGGACCCCACUCAGACCUCUCUGGGGCAAAUGUUUUGGUUCUCACAACAGCCCUAGUGAAAUCAAUCCUAGAUAC